rnacentral:sRNA from 1 species
AUUUUGUGUUUUUUGUU